rnacentral:rRNA from 1 species
GAUGAACGCUGGCGGCGUGCUUAAUACAUGCAAGUCGAACGGAAAGGCCCUGCUUUUGUGGGUUGCUCGAGUGGCGAACGGGUGAGUAACACGUGAGUAUCCUGUCCCUGUAUUUGGGAUAAAUUCACGAAAAUGGGGCUCAUAUCGGAUAGGAGCUCCUGCUGCGUGGUGGGGGAUGGAAAGAUUCGGCGGUUGGGGAUGGACUAGCGGGUUAUGAGCUUCUUGGUGUGGUAGUGGCAUACAAAGCGUAUGACGGGUAGCCCGCCUGAGAGGUGGAACGGCGACAAGACGACUGAGAGACGGCCCAGACUCCAACGGGACGCAGCAGGGGGGAGUAUGGCAGAACGGGCGGAAGUCAGAGACAGCAGCGCCGGGAGCGGGAUGACGGCCUAUGAGGGGUAAACCGCUGUCGCCUGAGACGAGGCGGGAUUGACGGUAACGGGUAAAGAAGCACCGGCUAACUACGUG